GAAAGGAGCUUGCUCCUGGAUUCAGCGGCGGACGGGUGAGUAAUGCCUAGGAAUCUGCCUGGUAGUGGGGGACAACGUUUCGAAAGGAACGCUAAUACCGCAUACGUCCUACGGGAGAAAGCAGGGGACCUUCGGGCCUUGCGCUAUCAGAUGAGCCUAGGUCGGAUUAGCUAGUUGGUGAGGUAAUGGCUCACCAAGGCGACGAUCCGUAACUGGUCUGAGAGGAUGAUCAGUCACACUGGAACUGAGACACGGUCCAGACUCCUACGGGAGGCAGCAGUGGGGAAUAUUGGACAAUGGGCGAAAGCCUGAUCCAGCCAUGCCGCGUGUGUGAAGAAGGUCUUCGGAUUGUAAAGCACUUUAAGUUGGGAGGAAGGGUUGUAGAUUAAUACUCUGCAAUUUUGACGUUACCGACAGAAUAAGCACCGGCUAACUCUGUGCCAGCAGCCGCGGUAAUACAGAGGGUGCAAGCGUUAAUCGGAAUUACUGGGCGUAAAGCGCGCGUAGGUGGUUUGUUAAGUUGGAUGUGAAAUCCCCGGGCUCAACCUGGGAACUGCAUCCAAAACUGGCAAGCUAGAGUAUGGUAGAGGGUGGUGGAAUUUCCUGUGUAGCGGUGAAAUGCGUAGAUAUAGGAAGGAACACCAGUGGCGAAGGCGACCACCUGGACUGAUACUGACACUGAGGUGCGAAAGCGUGGGGGAGCAAACAGGAUUAGAUACCCUGGGUAGUCCACGCCGUAAACGAUGUCAACUAGCCGUUGGGAGCCUUGAGCUCUUAGUGGCGCAGCUAACGCAUUAAGUUGACCGCCUGGGGAGUACGGCCGCAAGGUUAAAACUCAAAUGAAUUGACGGGGGCCGCACAAGCGGUGGA
rnacentral:rRNA from 1 species